AGGAUUACUUCAAGAGGAUGUUCAACUUCAAGAAGGACAAGGAUGGUUACUGGAAGUGGUUCGGUGGCAACCUUGCUUCUGGUGGUGCCGCUGGUGCUUCCUCGCUGUUCUUCGUGUACUCCCUGGACUAUGCUAGGACAAGGCUGGCCAAUGACGCAAAGGCAUCCAAGGGUGGAGGUGAAAGGCAGUUCAAUGGCCUUGUUGAUGUCUACCGCAAGACUCUCAAGUCAGAUGGUAUUGCUGGGCUUUACCGUGGAUUCAACAUCUCCUGUGUUGGAAUCAUUGUCUACCGUGGUCUCUACUUUGGGCUGUAUGACUCUCUAAAGCCAGUUCUCCUUACUGGCACUCUCCAGGUUUGUUCUAGUACCCUGCUGUUUCCAAAUUUCUCAUGUUUUCUUUUGUUUGCCUGACAGCACUGACAUCCUUUCUCACCAUUGAUGUGUCUGCAGGACAACUUCUUUGCCAGCUUUGCUCUUGGUUGGUUGAUCACCAACGGUGCGGGUCUUGCAUCUUACCCCAUUGACACGGUCCGCAGAAGGAUGAUGAUGAC
rnacentral:lncRNA from 1 species